UACAGAGGUGGCGAGCGUUGUUCGGAUUUACUGGGCGUAAAGGGUGCGUAGGUGGUUUUAUGUGUCGGGCGUGAAAGCCCACUGCUCAACGGUGGAAUGCCGUCCGAAACUAUAAGACUAGAGUGCAGGAGAGGAGAGCGGAAUUCUUGGUGUAGCGGUGGAAUGCGUUGAUAUCAAGAAGAACACCAGUGGCGUAGGCGGCUCUCUGGAAUGUUACUGACACUGAGGCACGAAAGUUGGGGGAGCAAACAGG
rnacentral:rRNA from 1 species